rnacentral:rRNA from 1 species
AACGAACGCUGGCGGCAGGCUUAACACAUGCAAGUCGAGCGCCCCGCAAGGGGAGCGGCAGACGGGUGAGUAACGCGUGGGAACAUACCCUUUGGUUCGGAAUAACUCAGGGGAAACUUGAGCUAAUACCGGAUACGUCCGUAAGGAGAAAGAUUUAUCGCCAAAGGAUUGGCCCGCGUCCGAUUAGCUAGUUGGUGAGGUAACGGCUCACCAAGGCUACGAUCGGUAGCUGGUCUGAGAGGAUGAUCAGCCACACUGGAACUGAGACACGGUCCAGACUCCUACGGGAGGCAGCAGUGGGGAAUAUUGGACAAUGGGCGCAAGCCUGAUCCAGCAAUGCCGCGUGGGUGAUGAAGGGCCUUCGGGUUGUAAAGCCCUUUGGUCGGGGACGGAUGAUGACGGUACCCGCCGAACUAAGCUCCGGCUAACUUCGUGCCAGCAGCCGCGGUAAU